GACGUAGGAGGCGAGCGUUGUCCGGAUUCAUUGGGCGUAAAGAGCGCGCAGGCGGCUUGGUAAGUCGGAUGUGAAAUCCCGAGGCUCAACCUCGGGUCUGCAUCCGAUACUGCCCGGCUAGAGGUAGGUAGGGGAGAUCGGAAUUCCUGGUGUGGCGGUGAAAUGCGCAGAUAUCAGGAGGAACACCGGUGGCGAAGGCGGAUCUCUGGGCCUUACCUGACGCUCAGGCGCGAAAGCUAGGGGAGCGAACUGG
rnacentral:rRNA from 1 species